GGGGGAGACGGUCCCAAGAUGGCGGCGCUGCAGGCGGAGCGCGGGUACGGGCUGUCCUGCGGUCGCCUCGGCCGCGGCACCCGCGUCUCCGUCUUCCACGUCAAGCUCACGGAGAGCGCCCUACGCGCCUUCGAGAGCUACCAGGCUUGUAAGGAUGCUGUGACAUCAAAACCAGUAAUCCAGUUUCAAGGAAGCCAAGGGCACAUCGCAAUUCCAAGGCCUGAUCGACCUACGGAAGUGCGGACUUUCACAUUUUAUCUUUCAAAUAUUGGCAAGGACAGCCCCCAAGGGAGUUUUGACUGUAUCCAGCAGUAUGUAUCUAGCAAUGGCAAUAUCCAUUUGGAUUGCCUUGGAAGCAUACAGGAUAAAAUCACCGUGUGUGCUACUGAUGAGUCCUACCAGAAGGCAAGGCAAAGCAUGGCACAGGCAGAGGAGGAGACUCGCAGCCGGAGCGCUAUAGUCAUUAAACCUGGGGGGAGAUACGUAGGCAAAAAGGUUCAGGUGCGUAAACCUGCACCAGGAGCUUCCGAUGCUGUUCCCUCCAGGAAGCGCCCAACGCCAGUCAACCUUGCCAGUGCAAUAAAGAGAGGCAAUAGUGCGAUUUCUCAGAGACCCUUCAAAGAUAGGGUUGUGCACUUACUGGCACUAAAGCCUUAUAAGAAACCUGAACUUAUUCUCAGAUUGCAGAAGGAUGGACUUUCUCAGCAGGACAAGGAUUUGCUGGACAACCUUCUGCAACAGGUGGCAAAUUUGAGUGCCAAGGACAGCACCUUCACACUGAAAGAUUGUGUAUACAAAGAAGUGCAGAAGGACUGGCCUGGCUACUCUGAAGGAGAUCAGCAGUUGCUGAAGAGGAUACUUGUUCGGAAACUCUGUCAGCCACAGAACAGUAGUGGUUUUCAAGGAGAAGCGCCUUCCCUGAGUCCACCAAAAGACAAUGUGAACUCCAGCUCUCCUCCUCAGAAACGAUCCCAGCCUCUGGAGUUUAUCGAUCCCCUGGCCAACAAAAAGCCCAGGAUCUCGCAUUUGGCUCACAGAACUCAGCCCACUUUCAACGGGAAACUGAAUUCCUCCAAUGGGAAGGAUGCUCCUGCCCCUGUCCUGCCGCCGGCUGUCCCGGAGUCAGUGAGCUCCAGCUCCAGCCUCCCGGUGCUGGAGCUGCCGAGGCCUCACGAUCCCCUUUCGGAUGUCAGCAAUGACCUGACUCACAACGGCAGAGACUGUGACAACCCGGAGACGGCUGACAGACUGACUCAUCCUUUGUCAACAGACUGUCCCCAAACGAGCAAGCACAAUUGCAGCUCGUAUGUAAAAACCAAGAAAAAAUCCAAAAAGCACAAAGACAAGGAAAAGGAGAGAAAGGAGAAGAAAAAUGAAGAGAAAUGCAAAGAGGAGAAGCAGGACUGUGAAGUAAUAAAAAAUGCUGACUUAGUUAGUGUUCCCCAGGAACAGGUCACAGGUUUAAAUGGAACAUGCAAUAAUUCUAGUGUACCAACAUCAACUUCAGAAAUGCCAGAUUAUUUAUUAAAAUACGCAGCCAUUUCCUCUUCGGAGCAGCGUCAGAGUUACAAAAAUGACUUCAAUGCGGAAUACAAUGAGUACAGAGACUUGCAUGCCCGGAUAGAGAGGAUAACUCGACGGUUUACGCAGUUAGAUGCCAAGCUGAAGCAGCUUUUGCAGGGCUCUGAAGAAUACAAGACCAUCCAUGAUCAAAUUUUACAAGAAUAUCGGAAAAUUAAAAAGACUAACCCCAAUUACAGCCAAGAGAAGAACCGCUGCGAAUACCUCCACAACAAACUGGCUCAUAUUAAAAAACUGAUAGCAGAGUAUGACCAACAGCAGUUUUAGCUGGCACUAAUCUGGACUGGGUAGGGCAAAAAAAUUCACCUGGACGUUACGUUCCCUUUUAUACAACUAGAUUCCUUUCAGAGAUGAGCAUUAAUUCAUCAUGGUUGAAGAACUUGGGGAUUACUUACGAUGCCGAAUCAGUCAUGUCUGAGCCGGGUCGCAAGCCCAGUGCCCGGCAUGGUCCUCUUGAAUUUUAGCCUCUCUGAAUGUUGGAAUGUAACAAAUGAAAAAAUCUGCUUAUUUGAAGCCAGCGUUUGACACUUAAGGGAAAACUUGCCUAAAGCAAACGAAGCUCCCAAAGGUUAAGAAUCAGUAGUUUUCAUGGAUUAAAGUUUGGCAUGAAGUGUAAUUACCCCUGGCCCAGGUCCACUGGGUUACAAAUUGUCCUUCAAAUGGUGAGGAACUGGAAUGCUGCUAGGUUACCUCCUUCUCUGGCACCUGCGACUGUUCAUAUGCAAGCUGUCUGCUCUACAUGGCACCGCGUUAAAUACACCAAGUACCCAGAGCUCUCGUUGUUUGUUCCUGCUUUUGUCAUCUCCGCCUGUGUGAUUUGACUUCUUCCCGCUUCCGUUUAUCUCAAAGUAAAGGAUUACUUUCCUGUGGCGUCUCCUUCCCUUGGAGGUUGCACUGAAGAGUCUUUCACCCUUUGAAGGAGCGGAAUGGCAGAGUUAAGGAGGGAAACAGUUCUUACACAAGGAGUAUUUUUUUUCCGUCCC